UGAUGGGGAAGCCCUCCGGGGCGAAGUAGCUGAUUUCACACUGUCAAGAAAAGCUUCUAUCGAGUUUAAAGGCGCCCGUAUCGUAAACCGACACAGGUGGGUGAGGAGAGUAUCCUAAGGCCAGCGAGAGAACUAUUGUUAAGGAACUCGGCAAAAUGACCCCGUAACUUAGGGAGAAGGGGUGCCUGUCUAUGACAGGCCGCAGAGAAUAGGCCCAAGCGACUGUUUACCAAAAACACAGGUUUCUGCUAAGUCGCAAGACGAUGUAUAGGAGCUGACGCCUGCCCGGUGCUGGAAGGUUAAGGGGAUCUGUUAGAGCAAUCGAAGCAGUGAACUUAAGCCCCAGUAAACGGCGGCCGUAACAAUAACGGUCCUAAGGUAGCGAAAUUCCUUGUCGGGUAAGUUCCGACCCGCACGAAAGGCGUAACGAUUUGGGCACUGUCUCAACAAUAGACUCGGUGAAAUUGUAAUCCCGGUGAAGAUGCCGGGUACCUGCGACAGGACGGAAAGACCCCAUGAGCUUUACUGUAGCUUGACGUUGGGUCUUGGUACUACAUGUACAGGAUAGGUGGGAGACUAUGAAGCAUGGACGCCAGUCUGUGUGGAGUCAUCCUUGGGAUACCACCCUUGUAGUACUGGGAUCCUAACCAUAGGCCUUGAAUCAGGUCUUGGAACACCGUCAGGUGGGCAGUUUGACUGGGGCGGUCGCCUCCUAAAAAGUAACGGAGGCGCUCAAAGGUUUCCUCAGCACGGUCGGAAAUCGUGCGAAGAGUGUAAAGGCAAAAGGAAGCUUGAUUGCAAGACAUACAGGUCGAGCAAGGACGAAAGUCGGACUUAGUGAUCCGGUGGUACCGCAUGGAAGGGCCAUCGCUCAACGGAUAAAAGCUACCCUGGAUGUCGGCUCAUCACAUCCUGGGGCUGUAGUAGGUCCCAAGGGUUGGGCUGUUCGCCCAUUAAAGUGGUACGCGAGCUGGGUUCAGAACGUCGUGAGACAGUUCGGUCCCUAUCCGUCGCAGGCGUAGGAAAUUUGAGAAGACCUGUCCUUAGUACGAGAGGACCGGGAUGGACGUACCUCUGGUGUACCAGUUGUUCUGCCAAGGGCAUGGCUGGGUAGCUAUGUACGGAAUGGAUAAGCGCUGAAAGCAUCUAAGCGCGAAGCCAACUUCAAGAUAAGAUUUCCCACCGUAAGGGUAAGACCCCAGGAAGACUACCUGGUUGAUAGGUCGAAGGUGUAAGUGCAGUAAUGUAUUUAGCUUAUCGAUACUAAUAGGUCGAGGACUUGACC
rnacentral:rRNA from 1 species